rnacentral:rRNA from 1 species
UACGUAGGGUGCGAGCGUUAAUCGGAAUUACUGGGCGUAAAGCGUGCGCAGGCGGCUUUGCAAGACAGAGGUGAAAUCCCCGGGCUCAACCUGGGAACUGCCUUUGUGACUGCAAGGCUAGAGUACGGCAGAGGGGGAUGGAAUUCCGCGUGUAGCAGUGAAAUGCGUAGAUAUGCGGAGGAACACCGAUGGCGAAGGCAAUCCCCUGGGCCUGUACUGACGCCCAUGCACGAAAGCGUGGGGAGCAAACAGGAUUAGAUACC